rnacentral:rRNA from 1 species
AGCGAACGCUGGCGGCAGGCUUAACACAUGCAAGUCGAACGCCCCGCAAGGGGAGUGGCAGACGGGUGAGUAACACGUGGGAACGUACCCUUUGGUUCGGAAUAACUUGGGGAAACUCAAGCUAAUACCGGAUAAGCCCUUAUGGGGAAAGGUUUACUGCCGAAGGAUCGGCCCGCGUCUGAUUAGCUAGUUGGUGAGGUAAUGGCUCACCAAGGCGACGAUCAGUAGCUGGUCUGAGAGGAUGAUCAGCCACACUGGGACUGAGACACGGCCCAGACUCCUACGGGAGGCAGCAGUGGGGAAUAUUGGACAAUGGGGGCAACCCUGAUCCAGCCAUGCCGCGUGAGCGAUGAAGGCCUUAGGGUUGUAAAGCCCUUUUACCCGGGACGAUAAUGACUGUACCGGGAGAAUAAGCCCCGGCUAACUUCGUGCCAGCAGCUGCCGUAA